rnacentral:lncRNA from 1 species
UACUGAUCGAAAUCAACAAAAACGAAAAAACAAAAUCAACAAUCAAAACAUGUUGUAGUUAAGAACUAAUCAUCCGGUUAACCAUCAAUGAAGAUUAUGCCAUAAUCCCUGAUAUGCAGCGGGCCGCUUGUCAUCGUGUGCCACUGCUCGAUAAUGCACAAACAUCUUAUCCGUUCUAAUCGAAAGCAACAAAAACGAAAAAACAAAUUCAACAAUCAAAACAUGUUGUAGUUAAGAACUAAUCAUCCGGUUAACCAUCAAUGAAGAUUAUGCCAUAAUCCCUGAUAUGUAGCGGGCCGCUUGUCACCGUGUGCCACUGCUCGACAAUGCACAAAAAUGCGAAAAUUAGCAAAUGUUGUAACCUUCAUUCAAUUAAAACGUAGAGCAACCAUAGUUUUCAUAGCCCAUUUGACCACUACGGGUGGGCCACUGACCCUGUCGAAGUUCCGAGUCUACAGGUCAUUGGUUCAACCACUGAGCGAAUGUCUAAUCAAACUGAUAGCUAUAUUAUGAAAAUAAAAAAAAAAGACGAUUUAAAUAUUAUAAAUAUAAAAAAUAAGAUGUUUUGUAAAUCAAAAAAUGAAUUUCAAAUAAUUUUUCAAUUAUUUUAAGUCAAGUAAAAAAUUCCUUCUACGUUUUAAGUCCAAUAUUCUUUUGAAUCUUUCAGAAAUAGGUAUUCAUUAUUGCUGCUUUUGAAUCUUUCAGAUACAACAAAAAACUUUUCUAUUCUGUAUUUUCAAUGAAUCUGUUCAUUUAAAAUCAAUGGUAUGGAUCCUACAAUUAAGCUAAUCAAGCUAUACAAUGAAUCUAUGAACUCUUUACAGUAGAAAAGAAUGAUAACUACUUAACUGUCGACCAAAUAUUUCAAGAUUUACCUCUUAGAAAUAUUCUCUAUUUUCAUGCCUUAAGUAGAGCAGUAACUACAAUAACAUCAAUGGCCGAAACUACCACCAUCGGUGGCAGCAGCAGCGAACAAGUCACUGGCGAUUGGUUCUCCGUUCCGAAACUCCGACUGCGCGAUCGC